CCUUGGGAGCUAAACACCAAUCCUUUUAUUCCUGAAAUGGAAACCCAAGUUCAAGCCCUAGAGCUGGAAAGUUGUGUCACCCAUGAAACAGUACUCGACUUACAUUCACCAGUCAAAUCCGAGACCAAAGAGCUUAAGAAAAGCCCACCUUCAAGCUCAUGCGUUGAAGUUCUCAGCUCUGGGUCUAACCAACACCAACCAAAGUCUGAUAAUUGUAGCAGAGAACCCAACUUGGGCUCCUCAUCUCAGAAGAUUUUCACAAAGUCCCCUCCGAUUACUAGAGAACGAAGAAAGCGAAAACGAACGAAGGCAGCCAAGAACAAAGAAGAAGUUGAAAGCCAACGCAUGACCCACAUUGCCGUUGAACGAAACCGUAGACGUCAAAUGAACGAUUAUCUAAAUUCUCUCCGCUCUCUCAUGCCUCCAUGUUAUAUCCAAAGAGUAUAACAAUCUAUCCUUCACCAACAUUUUAGUCCCCCUGUUGGGCUAUUUAGCUCUACUUUCUUUCACAAAAAAAUCAUGUUUGGGUUUGUGUUUGCAGGGUGACCAAGCGUCAAUCAUAGCUGGUGCAAUUGACUUCGUUAAGGAGCUAGAGCAACUUCUUCAAUCCCUGGAAGCACAGAAGAGAACAAGAAAAGUCCACGAAAGCAACAAUAGCAUGUCAAAUCCCGCCAUGGAAAUUCAUCAGCAAGAAUAUGAAAAUGGAUCUGAAGAUGGACAUUGCGGGGAGGAAGUAAAAGCAGAAAGCAAAACAGGUGCAGCUGAAGUAGAGGUUAAUGUAAUACACAAUCAUGUCAACUUAAAGAUUCAGUGUUCAAGAAGAGCUGGUCAGUUGAUACAAGCCAUUGUCACCCUGGAAACUCUUCGGUUAACGGUUUUGCACCUCAACAUCACCACUUCGCGAGCAUCUGUUCUUUACUCGUUCAAUCUCAAGGUAAUAUUGUUUGUUCUUUUUUAAAACAAGUUUUAGUUUGCGUUUUCAAACUGGUGUUGGAACAAGUCGUGGCUCAAACCCUAGUUCCAAAAUUUCUCAACAGUUGUCUUUGUUUUUUUGUUGGUUUUGUUUUGUUUUCUUCUUUAUCUGGGUUUGUGUUGGAAAUGGGAAUGGCAGAUGGAGGACGACUCUGCGCUAAGAUCAGCGGAUGAGAUAGCAGCAGCAGUUCAUCAAAUAUUCAGCUAAAUUCAAAAUUAAAAUGAAAAAAAAAAAGGAUUUGGUCAUUAUUCAUUAGGCAGCUGACUUGAUUCCUGAAGCGAAAGUAGGGUAGAAAAGAGCAGACCAGGAAAAAAAGGUAAAAAGAGAAAAAAAAAUGAAAAAAGAGGGGUCCAUUCCAAGCAAUGCUUUGUUCCACAAAGACAAUUGAAGACAGAGCUCUUGAUGUUUACAUCUUAACUUAAGAAACUUCCCUUGUUUAUCACUAAUGAUUUAAUUUGCUUACUUAAUAGAAAUGAUAAAUCUAUGUAAUUUCCAAGUUCCUUUUCCUUUAUUCUAUGUUUAUAUUAUUCUGGUACUAGCUUCUGGAGUGUGGGGUCAACCGAGGGCCAGCCAGCCAGCAUUGCCUGCCCUGCCCUGGGCCUGGUGGAGGUUUAGGAAAGUAUGGGUUCAUCAAGUUUGAAAAUUUGUUGUAUAAAUCUCAUGAUUACACUUUAGCGAAUGAUGCUCCCCUUUUUAUAUUGACUUUGGUGACGUACGUAUGUAUGUUUCAUCAUUAUACAAUGUCCUCUCCGCCAUUCCUUUUUUUUUUCUUUUAAAUUUUCCUGGUUGCACCUUUCUUUUUGGACUCUAGUUCCCUUUUGACACACUUCAUUUCCAGCCUUCUAUCUCAUGGACUCCUCUAUGAAAAAGUCAAUUUUUUAAAUUUAAUAAUUCAUUUGCUAAAAUGCUUUGUUUCCCUAAAUGUAGCAAGGAGGAAAUAAUUAAAUAAACAUUUAUGGAAGAAAUUGGUUGUAGGGUUUAUACCUUUGAACAUUAUUAUCACAUCUAAUGGACUGGAAUAAAGGAAGGUUAGCAAAACAAACUCAUUUAAGCUUAGGAAAGAUGUCAUAGGAAGGACAAGAAUGGUAGGAUGGAUGGGAUUGUACCUCUUACAAGUGUUCGAUAAAAUCCCAAGGCUCACGCAUUACUAAAACCGAUAGAGUUCAUGUGCUCAUCUCAUGUCUCAUGGUCAUGGCAUGGGGGUAUUCAUUGACUUUAAAUUUUCUCCAAGUAAAGGGUGUUUGACUGAAAGAACAAUCUAAAUCUUACAUGGUUAAAUGACAUUAUCAAAGAUUUGACCUGCCAGCCUACGUGACAGGUUCUUGAGGUGACAAACCUUUUUGGGUAAACACAAAGUAGAAGUGAUGGACACUGGGUGGAGGGCAAGAAGAAGAAGAAAAAGAAAGGCGGGGGUUUUGACGGAAAUAAUAAAAAGUCGAAGGUGCUAAUUUGACGAAGCUUAUAGAGCAAGUGAGCAACCCCACGGAAAGUUGUCACACGGGUAAGAGAAAGGGAGAUAGAUGCAAAUGCAGAAGUGCGCAGCAGCUUAAAGCACACAUCCCCAAGUGAAAGAAUCAAAAGAAGACCGGACCGGAGACAAAUCGCUCUCUUAUUGUAGCUAAUGUCCUAGUCAUUUUGGGUCUUCGUGUUCCUUCUUUUUGACAGCCUUCCCCUUCCCAAGCUCUGUCCUAAUCCACAAUUGUUAUCCAUCGAAUGUAUAAAUGAUUACAGUUUAGCGAAUGAUAUUCCCCUUUUGCUUUGUGGGUCUGCGUAUGGAUGUUUCAUCAUUAUACAAUGUCUUCUCCGCCUAUCUGUUUUUUUUUUAAAUUUAAUUUUCCUGAUUGCAUCUUUUUCUUUUUAGACACUUCAUUAACAAAAAUGUCAAUUAUAGCAUUCAGAUGUCCAAAGAUUAGAUAGUAUAAGGAAAGUAGGGUUAAAUUCUCAGGAACUGGAUUUACAGAAAUUCAUAUUCCUCGAGAUCUAGCAUAGAGUCGUGUCCAAGAAAAACGGCGUACGUGGAAAAAAAAUAAAAAAAACAAAAUUAAAAGUUUGGAUGAAUUGAGAUUGCGUAAAUUGAAAUUGAAAUUGUAAAAAUAAACAGAGUUGAGAAAAGAGUCUUUGGUGGAGAGAUUCUAGCCUCUGGUUAUCUCGAUCCUCCUUGGGUUCAAUCCUAGGCUUUUAAGUGAUCCUUCUCGAACAAAAUAAGCCAGUUAUAGUAGAAGAGGACGCCUACAACCACCAGCUCCACUUAGAUUUUAGACUUACGAUUUAGAGGAACCUGACUUUAGCCAACCGUCACUUUUGUGGGACCGUUUUACACUAGAUCAUCAUUUCUCAAUGGCGAAUGUCACGCCAUUUUGUUUCUUGGGCUCGACAACCACAAACGCAAUAAGCUAACAAACCGACUGUGCAACCUUCCCAAAAUAUAUAAAGCGGCCGCCUUUGCACAAUAUGAAAAGAUUACUUUUAAAGGGAUAUGGACGGAAGCGUCAAUCCCGUAAUGUGGAGAAACGAUGAAUACUCGUUGAAAAGGCUAAAUGCAUAUUCUAAGCCUCAUGAACCCUUUUUGGGAACCUCAACAACCUUUGACUAGAUGAGUUUUAGUGGCUCAUGCUUUUUGGUAAAAAAGAAAUAAACUUAAUAAAAAUGAAAUUUUAUUGAAUAAAUGAAAAGUACAAAGGCUAUAGCUUUUUGGGAGAGGGAGCUUUUAUAGAAAAAAUGAGUGUUAAUUUGUUUCACUCCAUCCCCUAUUUAUAGUAUUUAGAAAACUUAGUCUAUUCCUAAUUAAAUUCUAAAAGAUAAAUAAAGAUAAAAGCUAAAAUUAAAUCUAAAUAAUCUUAACAAUAAUCCUAAUAUAAUUUAAAUUUAAAUAGAGUCUCGUGUUUAUAAAAUCUCUUCUUUGCACUUUUUCCCACCAAGUCUGCCACACGUUGCAUUUUCGGCACCACUUGUUUCCUAUUUCGCAUGCUGGCCCAUUUUAUCUUUAAAUUCAUGCUUUUUACCCCCAAAUUUUCUUUUGCCUUCAAUUUAGUCCCUACAAUAUAAAAAAACCAUAAAUAGCUCAAAUUAGUAAGAUUAUACUCAAAAUAAAUAUGUAAUUAAUACAUAAAAAUAUGUCAUUCCAAAAUAUUAUCAAAUUCCCCCUACUUAGUCCAUACUUUCCCUCAAGUAUGGAUCUUAUCCACCAUGAAAUUUAGAUUUUACCAUGAAAGAAGUAUCACUCCAAAGUUUUAUAAAAAUUAGGCAUAAUGCAUAUGAAAAUAAAGAGAACAUUUAGCUUGCUUUAAGUAAAACUGAAAAAGUAUUCCAAUUUAAACACACAAAAAUUAAAUCGUCUUGAAUUAUUUCAUGAAAAUUAAGUAAUUUACUAAACUUACCAAGACACCCAAUUUGUUUCCACAUUUAGUCCCCAAAUACAAUUCUUUAUUAUUAUUUUUUACUUCUUUUUCCUUCUUUUUUUUAUUUUUGGUUAUUCUUUGCUUAAGAAUAUAUUGAACCUUUUGACGCAAAAAGAGAUGACAACCAAGUACCCCACCCCAGUUACUCAUCCCAACAUACUCCUAAUUUAUUAUAUUUAUAUAUGUUUUUUUCUUAAGAAUAUAUUGAAACUUUUGAUGCGAAGAGAGAUGACAGCCAAGCAUCUCACCCCGGUUACUCAACCCAACACAUUCCUAAAUUUUUUUGUUUAAUUUCGGUUAAUGGAGUUUUUCCUAACACGUCACACAACCUUUUGACGCGAAGUAAGAUAAUAACCCAAGCACCUUACCCCGGUUACUCAGUUAGUCACGUUUUAUGCUGCACUCAUAACCAUGGAGGCAUCAAAACUUAUUAUUAUCAUGAAACAAAAUUUUAAUUUGGAGGACUAGGAAAAACAAUCAAGUGUCAAAAAUAAGUUUCAGCAACUCCCUAACAGUCAUGAACAGAAAAUUAGCAUGCAAUUGUAUUAAGUGUCCUCUUUGCAUUUAGACUUAAUCGAUUUUACUAUAAGCAAGAUAGUGUUAACUUUAUUAAUCAUAAUUAUUUUAGCCUAACAAAAAGAAAACAGUGGAGAUGAAAUCAAUAUAGCAAAAUCAUAACUAACUCAGUAGACAAGAAUCAUGCUCGUAGGUCAAACAGUGGGCAAUUCCUAGUUAAAAUCUUAGGCAUGAAAAGAGACAGGAUAUACUAAAAAUAAAUGUGGGCAAAAAUGAGCACAAGGCAGCAGCAAUAGUAACACAACAGUAAAAGCAGCAGAUAAAAUUAUAGAAAUAAUGAGGAAUGACUCCCCCUACUUAAAACACAUUAUCCUCGAUAUGAAAGAAAAAUAGAAAACAAAUAUUUGAAAGAAAAAGGUUUUAGAAAAACUCCUCAUGUAGUCACUGUCGUUCAUGCAUAGCUGCAAGAAGGAGAAGGUUAUGCGUCGCGUGAAUGAGAGGAAGGAAGGGAAGGUGUUCGUCAGCUAAAUUGACGUGUUGGGGAGCCGAGAAUCAGCGCCAGCAACUGUUGACGGCGAAUGAGGUUUUGGUCACGACACGGCUUCUAGUCCUAACCAUGGUGGUUGGAAAAAUCGGUGGUAGAGGUGAUGGAGAAGGGGAACGGCUGCUGAAGGGUUAUUUUGGUGAAAUUGGGGAAAAGUUUAGGGUUUGAAGGUGUAGAAGAAAGGGUGUUUGGCUGUAGGGUACGUGUUCGAGUGCAGCUUUUGGGUAAGUAUAAAGUAAGGAUGCGCUAUCCCUACUUGGAAUAGGGAUAGAAUAAGGGAUGUUUGUGAAAGCAUGUCAAUUCUUGAGUUUUUUUCUUUGCCGGUUUACCUAGAUAGAAGAAGAGAAAUUUAUUAAUAUCGAAAAAAAUAAAGUAAUAAAUAAUAAAAUAAAAUAAAGUAAUAAAUAAUAAAAUAAAAUAAAAAUUGGGUUGCCUCCCAACAAGCAUUUAUUUAAUGUCGUUAGCUUGACGCCCCAACUAGUAUUGAGAUUGUUCCAGCUAAGUUCUUUCAUUCGUAUGGGCUUCGAAAUUCUCUUUUUUUACCAUAUCCACUAUGUUUGGGUUCAAUUGUCCUUGCGCCUCUUGCUUUGGUUUCGUUUUUUCCUCCGAGAAAAUAUUAUUUGUGUCUGUCAAGGGGUUAAUCCCUUUUAAGUUAGCAAUAGUCUCAUCAUUCUCCAAAAUGCGCAUUUGAGAUGCUUGAGAAGUGGUUUGAAUUCCAGAUUUGGUGUCUGCACAAUAGAAAGUAGAAGUUUAGUGUUCAUCGGAGACAACAAUUCAUUAACAUAAUCAAAAUCAUCAAACAUCAUUUUAGGUUUAUCUCCAUAAGAUGACUCAAAAGUUUCUUCUACUAAUGAGUCAAUUAUGUCGACACGGUUUACAUUCAAAAUUUCACUAGGAUGACUAAUAACACCAUAAACGUUAAACUUCACGAUCUCCCCGUCAAACUCCAUCGUGAGGGUUCCACUACUUACGACAAUCUUAGUAUUUGCAGUACUAAGGAAUAGGGCUGUGCAUAAUUUGGUUAACCCAAUUUUUUUUCAGUUAACCGACCGAGUUCGGUUAAUCGGUCGGUUAAUCGAAAAAAUUCGGUCGAGAGUCGGUUAAUUUUUUUUAUUUUUUCGGUUAACGGUUAAAUCGGUUCGAAACCAGUCGGUUAACCGAAAAAAUUGGGUAAACUGAAUUUUGCAGGGUAGGGCCUAAACUAGGUCAAAUUAAACCCGACCCAAUUUUUUCUCAAGCUCAACACCGAAUUUUUUGGGUAAUUUUCGGGUAAUUUGGGUAAUUUUCGGGUAAAUCGGUUAAUUCGGUUAAUUCGAUUAAUCGGGUAAUUCGGGUAAUUUUUAACCAAAAAUAAAAAAUACAUAAUUUUCGGUUAACCGACCUUAUUAACCGAAAAAAUUUCGGUUCGGUUAACGGUUAAAAAUUUUGGAAGGUCGGUUAAUUCGGUUAUAGUAAUUUCGGGUCGGUUAACCGGUCGGUUAACCGAAUGAACACCCCUACUAAGGAAAGGUCACCCCAACAAGAUGUCUGAAGACCUAGGAGCGUUAUCCUAUUCCAUUUUUAUCACAUAAAAGUUUACACUAAAGAUAACACCUAUUUUCAUCAAAAAAACCCGCGUUAAUCGAUUUAUGAAUGGAAAAAGGCAUUACAUUUAUGGAAGCUCCUAAAUCACAAAUAGCUUUUUUAAUUCCUAAGUGGCCUAUUUUUCAUAGUAUAGUAAACAUGCCCCUAUCUUUACAUUUUACUAGCAUCCUUCGCUACAACACCGCAGAUACAUUUUCACCAACACUUACUCUUUCAUUUCCAGUCAACUUUCGCUUGUUGGUGCAAAGCUCCUUAAGGAACUUGGCAUAUCGCGGAAUUUGUUUGAAGGCAUCCAACAAUGGCAUGUUGAUCUUGACGUUCCUGAAUGCUUCGAGGAUCUCUUUUUCCUCCUUACCUCUUCAAUGUUAGUUAAUCGUCCUAGAAUUAGAGGUUGAAUUAUGGGCAAUAGAGGUUUCGUUUGGACCUGUUCAUCAUUCUCCUACUUUUUCUGGGUAGAAUCUUAACCAAGAUUCUUGUCAGGAUUUGGUUCUAGUACUUUUCCACUUCGCAACGUCACUGUAUUUGCGUGUUGUCUUGGAUUAGGUUCUAUUUGUGACGGUAACAUCCCUUGUAAGUUCAUUUUCUCAAUUGAUGUAGUCAAUUCUCUUAUAGACACCUCGAUUGUCUGUUGAAAAUCAAGCAUAUUAGCUGCUAAUUUAUUGACCAUGGUUUCUUGAAAGGUACUUGAAUCUUGCGGCAACUGUGAAAUCAAGUUUUAGUAUGGUUGGUUGUACCGUGGGUUAGUUUCAUAACUUAAGUUGGGAUGGUCUUUUCACCCUGGGUUAUAGGUAUUAGUAUAAGGGUCAUAUCGCCUUUGGGGUGGUCUAGGAAAAUUCUCCACAGCAUCUAAAUGGGCCAUAGUAUCAUCACACAAACUAGGACACGCGUCUGUUGUAUGUUCGUGUGUUGCACAAAUUUUGCAUAGUCAGGUUGGUCCUUUUUUUACUGCAAAAAAAAUUCAUGAUAUUAGUAAGUCGAUCAACUUUAUCUUCUAAAGUUGAAUUACCUAGUUGAUGAACCCUUCUGGUGGGCUCAGGAUUGGCUCAAAAUUGCUAAGUAUUUGCAGCCAUCGUGGAUAUCAAGUCUCUCGCCUGUUGGGGAGUCAUGUUGACCAAUACUCCUUCACUAGCAACAUCUACCAUAUUCAUCUUUAUGGGCUUUAAGCCCUCAUAGAAGUAUUAGAGCAGAAACUAUUCUGUUAUACCAUGUUGUGGGUAACUUGCUCAUAACUUCUUAAAUCGCUCCCAAUAGUCGUAACGAGACUCUACUUCUUUUUGCCUUAUCCCAACGAUCUCCCUUCUUAAUUCAGCUGCAAUCAAUGCUAGAAAAAACCUAUUGAGAAAAAAAUGAGAAAGAUCAGUCCAAGUUGUAAUAGAUCUAUGGGUAGAUAAAAUAACCAUUCCCUAGCAGAAUCUGCUAGGGAAAAAGGGAAAGCACGCAAUUUGAUUUGAUCCUCAGUUACGCCUUGAGGUUUCAUGCUAAGAUAAACCAUAUGAAACGCUUUCAGUUAUUUGUGAGGAUUUUUGUUUCGCAACCUACGAAAAGUCGGUAAUAACUAGAUAAAUACUGACUGCAGUUCAAAAUCAGUAUACAUAGUAGGAUACGCAAUGCAUAAUGGUUGUUGUUCUGCUGGAACUUCAGCCAUUUGCCUAAUUGUUUAAGCCAUAUGUGCUAGAUUCGGGUUUUCAUUAACCAUUGCAUCAAGCACUUCUUCUGGUGGAUCGACUCCUAUUAUUUCGUUCUCCGAUGUUUGAGUAGGGUUUUCGUUAACCCUAGACUCAACUUCGUCGUCUGCUUCUAUUUCUGGCAGUGGGUUACUCUGAGUCCCUACCACUUCUGACUACUUUUUCGUAGCUUUGUUUCCUUGUGAUUAGCUUUCGCAGUCUUCUCUAUUUUUGAAUCAAACGCAAGAAUACCUGGAGCAAAUCUGGUCAUAAGAAACAAAAGAAACAAAAUUAGUAUAUUACCAGUCUCUGGCAAUGGCGCCAAAAUUUGAUGCAUCAUUGAGAGCACCAAAAAUAUCCUAUCCCUAUAGAAUAACGAAAAGAAUAAUAUAAGAAAAGUAGGGUCAAAUCCUCAGGGACUGGAUUUGCACAAAUUCCUAUUCCUCGAGAUCUGGGGCAAAGUCGUGCCCAAGAAAAAUGGCAUACUUGGAAAAAAAAUUAAAAAAACAUAAUUAAAAGUUUGGAUGAAUUGAGAUUAAGUAAAAAGAUUUUUUGAUGGAGAGAUUUCAGCCUCCAGUUAUCUCGAUCCUCCUUGAGUUCAAUCCUAGGCUUUUAAGUGAUAUUUUUUCGAACAGAAUAAGCCAAUUAUAAUGGAAGAUGACGCCUACGACCACCAGCUCCACUUAGAUUUUAGACUUACGAUUUAGACGAACCUAACUCUAUCUAACCGUCACUUUUGUGGGACCAUCUUACACUAGAUCAUCAUUUUUCAAUGGUAAAUGCCACACCAUUUUGUCUCUUGGACUCGACAACCACUGACGCAGUAAGCUAACGAACUAAUUGUGUAACAUUCCCAAAACAUACAAAGCGGUUGCCUUUGCACAAGAUGAAAAGAUUAAUUUUGAAGGGACAUGGACGGAAGUGUUAGUCCCGUAAUGCGGAGAAACAAUGAAUACUCGUUGAGAGGGCUAAACGCGAAUUCUAAGCCUUAUGAACCCUUUUUGGGGAACCUCGACAACCUUUGGCUAGAUGAGUUUUAGUGGUUCAUGCUUUUUGGUAAAAAAAAGAAAUAAACUUAAUAAAAAUAGAAUUUUAUUGAAUAAAUGAAAUGAACAAAAGCUAGAGCUUUUUGGGAGAGUGAACUUUUACAGAAAAGAUUAGUGUUAAUUUAUGUCACUCUAUCCCCUAUUUAUAGUACUUAGAAACCUAGUUUAUUCCUAAUUAAAUUCUAAAAGAUAAAAUCUAAUAUUAAAUCUAAAUAAUCUUAACAAUAAUCCUAAUAUAAUUAAAAUUUAAAUAGAUUCUUGUGUUUAUAAAAUCUCUUCUUCGCACUUUUGCCCCCAAGUCUGCCACACGUUGCAUUUUCGACACCAGUUGUUUCCUAUUUCGCAUGCUGGCCCUGUUUGUCUUUAAAUUCACGCUUUUUACCCUCAAAUUUCCUUUUACCUUUAAUUUAGUCCAUACAAGAUAAAAAACCAUAAAUAGCUCAAAUUAGUAUAAUCAUACUCAAAAUAAGUAUGUAAUUAAUACAUAAAAAUAUGUCUUUCUAGAGUAUUAUCAGAUAGAUACAACAAAAACGUAAACCUAAAAAAAAACCUUGCUACAAACUUUGUCCUUGUCACCAUGCAAGGAGCAACAUGGGAAGAACCUCAAGAUCUUGACAAGCGGUCACGACAAUUGGCCCAAGCGAUAUGCACUCUUUUCAUAGAGGCCAUGCUAACGAGAAGUCCAAAAAGAGAUGUCAAAAUCACCAAGGUAUCGAUGAGAACACUAAUAGUGGAGGUGCCAAGGACGAAUAACACCCUCGGUAAGUUGGCCAUGACAAGCACCAGAAGAAGCCUUGGUGCGAUGACACCAACAUCAAGGCUCAAAUUCGAAAAGAGACUAUAGAGAUGCUUAGCCGCUAAAAAAUAUAUAUGAGCUUCAGUGCUGCACAAAGCAAAGGGAAAAAAAAAAGCUAUGAACGGAAUCUCACCAGACAUCAAAGUGAAGGAUAGAAACAAGAUAGGAGACCCCAUGGAGCUCUAAGGCUCCGUAUCACAAGCCGCGUGUAAGUGUCGAUGAUGAAGCCCAAAUAUGCAACCACUGGGUCAAGUUGCUCGAUAGGUCACUAGAGGGCUUUUCGAAAAAUUAGGGGUCUAGGCCUCCAAAUUGUGUGGGAAAGCUCUUAGAGGUAGAGGAAGACUCUAAAAGCGUGGAAGAGCAUUCGAAAAAUAGCAGUGCAGCUCAAGGAAUUCUUUGGAACCUUCCAAAUCGGUAAGCACCACUGAAUGAGGAAAGCUACCCUGGCGAGCCCCAUAGUAUGUGGGAGAUUGGCCCAGGCGGGCAUAAAAGGUUCUAGACACACCUAGUGUGUAAGAGUAGCACCUAGAUGGGGUUGGAAGGGUCUGGAAGCACAGAGGGUGUGAGAACAGUACCCCGAAGGGGCUUAAACUACCUUAGAUUAUAUAUAUCAUCUUGGGGUUGCUUAUAAAUGGGGAGGCACCUUUAGGACUACUGAUAGCAUGGGAGAGUAAGUUUUAGCGAGUGUUGAACGUAUAGUGAACAUAGAUAAAUAGUAUCUUUUGUAAAGCCUUCUUGUACAUACCUUGCUAAGUUAAUACAAUUCCAAAGCAUUGUCCUACACUUCCCCUUGUUUGAGUUUGGCUAUCUUGAGUGUCUUUAUCACAGUUGGCUCUUAAAAUACUUAGGCAACAUUGGCUUCUGUUUAAAGUCAUAUAUUGAGCUGAGCUAAAAUCUCAACCUAUAACUAGUGGUAUUAAAACUUGGUUUGAAAAAAAAGCCUCUCAAGAUAAUGUCGUCUUAAGAGGAGAUAUUGAGCCAAGAGGUCGAGGGUAUGUUGAGACUCAUGGUGUCGCAACAAGGGUAGUAAAGGUGCCUUGAGAGGGAGCUCAAGGGAUGGGGCAUCGCUGAGGGUUGUACGGAUGCGCUAAAGUCGAAUAGUAGAGAGUCUUGAGAAAUGCUCAAGGAUAUGUUAAUGGGAGAGCUCCGAGGGAAUUCAGCGAGGUUAUAUGCGACCUAGUCCAAUGAAACAAAACCCUUAAAGUUUUGGUGAACUAAAUCCCCAUCUUUUUCAAAAUAUAGAAACUAAUAGUAGCAUUUAACCAUUAUAAAAAAUUUAACCUAGAAGUUAUGGAUUUAGUAUUUGUACUUCAAUUUGUUCACUUCUAAUCCCUAUAUAUUUUUAACUUUAAACUUUAGUCCUGACUAUAUGGUAAUUAUUAAAUUCAUUAAGUUUAAUCCUACUAUUUUAAAAUUUUAAUGUGUCAAAUAUCUUAGUAAUGUAUAAUGUCAUGUCAGUUUGUUAUUUUCACAUAUUACUCAAAAAAUUUAGUUAAUCAACUAUCGUUUGUAUCAAUAAUAAAAUUUAAAUUUCAAAAAGUAUACCGACUAAGAAUAAUCAAAUCAGAGAAUAUUAACUAAAUCUACAAUUUUAUGCACAAUAGAUGACUAAUGGUAGAAUUUAGCCAAAUGAAUUUGAAAAGUACAAGGAUUAAAAUUGAUUAAUUUGAAGAGUACAUGGACUAAAAUUGAUUAAUUUAAAUAGUACAUAGACUAAAUUUACAACUUAUGCAUAGUAGAGACUAAUAGCAAAAUUUAACCUCAAGAAAAAAAAAGCGUAUAAGAAGUAUGUAUAAGUGAUAGAUAUUGGGGGUGAAAGUAUCAUGGAGGUCUCUAUAUUAUGAGUCAGAUUGUAUAAUUAAUUCAUAUACAUUAUAUGAAAAAGCAAUUGGUCCUUUCUUUUAAAAAUUUCAUCAAUUUUUACUAUUAAAAACCGAUACGACUGACUAAAGAGUUAGAUAGUUACAUAUGACGUGCCAUGUAUAUUUUAGAUUGACAUAUAUAGACCAAUUUUUAACAAUAAAUAUAGAUAAAAAUUUUAAAAAAAUUAAUUCACUUCUCGAUCUAAUUUAUAAAUUUUAAUUUAUUUAUUUUGAAAGAAAAAGACGAUGUAAUGUGAAUUUUAGAAUAAAAAUCUAUAUGGCACUGGAGCUGAGGGUAAAAAGUUAAAGGGCAAGACGGAAAUAAUAAAAAGUCAAAGGCGCUCAUUUGACGAAGCUUAUAGAGCAAGAGCAACCCACGCUUGUCAUAAGGGUGAGAGAGAGGUCGAUGCAAAAUGCAAAAAGUGUGCAGCAACUUAAGCCUUCAAGCGCACAUCCCUAUGUGAAAGAAUCAAAAGAAGACUGGGCCGGAGACUAACAGCCUUUCCCUUCCUAAGCUCAGUCCCAUUCCACCAUUUAUUUUUUUCUUUUACAACCCUAUCAUUAUUACUGCCUUCCUCCCCCUCUUUCUAUGCUAUCAGGUUCUUUUUAAUGAUUCGAUGCCUUUUUCCAAGUCAAUGAGAUUACCUUCAUUUCUUAUCGGUUCCUGAGAAUUAUUAGCUGUUAAGGGAUACCCUGAAACAUUAUGGUUAAUUAAGGAAACGUCAUAAAAUAUUUUUUUUAGAAAAAAUGCAUAAAAGAAGUUUCUUCUAUCCAACACGUAAAUACCACUGUAUCGUAGGUACGUGGACUAGAGUAUAUUGGAGCCACAGCGACGGGUAUAUCCAUGGGGGGGACAUUGGUCUGAGAUCUUUUAAGAUGUGAAUGUUUUACUGGGAUAUAGCAUAGCAUAUUCAACCUAAAGCCUAAAUAAUCUCGCAUAUCUCUCUCUAUUUAUAUUAUCGUUGACAUUAGAUAACUUUAGCUUUUUUGGAUUAUCACUAACCAUCGGUUUGAUUUUUAUAUAACCAAAAUCGAAUAAAUCACUAAAAUCAAAUAAAUUGAAUUGGAUUUUUUUAAAACUGAAUUAAUCUACGUUUCACUUUGGUUUGAUUUUUUAAUUUUUGACUUUUUUUUCUUCAAAUAUUUAUUUACAAAAUAAUUAUAAAGCUUAUAUUAUAAAAUAUUUAAGAAAUGAUAUAUUUUUAUUUCAAUGAAUUUGAUUGAACAUUGAACCCAUUAUUUCUUCCAUAAUUUUCUCUUUGUUUUGAUUUUAAAAACUAAGAAAUCGUGAGUGAAUUGAAUCAUGUUGAUUAGUAUGUGUAUAUAUAAAAGAUAAGAACUGUUUGGUGAUUUUUAUGCGCAAACACUGCUAUUAAGUUUUGUUUUGCAAAUACAUUAAAUUCAAUUCAUAUUUCAUUUUUAUUGUUUAUGUAUUAAUUUCAAUGAGAUUAAAAUUAGCAAUGGUAAUGAUAUUAUUUAUUAUAUCAGUGAAAUUAAAUGCUCUAGCUAGCUAUAAGAUUAAAAUUAAUAGUUAAGUAUAUGUUUGGAUUCAACCACAACAGUAGAGGUAAGAUUACUUUUUGUCAAUAAAAAAAUACUAUUAAAGACACUGAAUCAAAAUAUUAAAAUGUGUACAUAUACAAUUGAUAUUUUUAUUUUAUUUUAUAAACUUAAAAAAAUAAUUAAAAUUUUCUUUAUGGCAUAUAAUAAUUUUAUUAAUAAUAAUUAGAACAAAUCGUAUUAAAUAAUUUUUUUAUUAUUUUUUAAACUAGUUAUUUAUAAUUAAUUAGUAUUAAAUUUAUAAUGAUAAAAUAUAUAAUUAUAAGUUUGUUGUAUAGAGUUGUCACACGUCGCAUGAUGAUGUCAUAAUCUACAAUAUAUAUUAUAAAUCAAUAAAAAUCUUUUUAAAUUUUAAUUCCAUUUUUUUCUUAUUUCCUUAUUUUCCCGAUAUAUCAUUCUUCUUCCUUCUUCCUCUUGUCACUUUGCAUUUUUCUUUUCCGAAUUUAUUCAACAUUUCUAGGUUGAAAAAUGUCAACAUUUCUAGGUUGGAUUUUUAACACAACCUCAAAACAAUUUUUUUUACCCCGACACUUUUUGGAAAAUAUAUUUUUUUAGUGGGUAAACAUUUUUUAAACCAUCUGAAAUUUUACAUACUAUUUCUUGGCACUAUUUUAGAGUAUAAAAAAUAUUUCCCACAAAAAAAGUGAUUGAAAUAAAAAAAAAAAAGAAAUUUCAAAAAAAAAGAAAAAAAUUAAAAAAUAUUUUUGUGGGUUGAAUUUUGUGCUGAAACUUUCCAGAUCAGAUCUACAUUAUUUGAGGAGGCUCUAGUUCAAAUUUUGUGAUUUUUAGAAAUCGAGAACACCUUGAACGAAGUUUGUCAUGUUGCUUCGCAAUUUUUCGGGUUUUCAGGUUUCAACAAUUUUGGUUGACUCUUAGCCUGAGGUUUUUAGUUGUUUUUGCUUUUUAUUGUUCCUUUACACAUUCUAACACUUUCUUGUUUCUUGUGUUAGUAGGUUAAAGCACGUUGCAUAUUCCUUCCGUGUUGCAGAAUUUUUUGAUGUCUAGCCGAUUUUGGACUCAUUAUGUGUAACAAGUCGAUUUUUAAUGGUUUCAGGAUCACAAUUUUCUAUCGUGUCGACUCGUAAUUAUUACUCUUAGAUUAUUUAUGGAGUCAUUAGUGUCGUAUUAAAAUUGGUUUAAGAAAUUUUAACGUUUAAAUAGUUAAUUAAAGAAAAAGAACUAAAUUGUAAAAUGUGCAAAACAUAGUAAUUAAAGCAUUUGGAUGAUUUAAAUGACCUAAUUAAUAAUGUGGGAGGACCAAUAAGAAAAUUAGUCCUUGUUUUAGAUAGUGGACGGUAAUGGGGCUUAAUUUAAAGGAAACAAUUGAAAGAAAAUAAUGAUAAUGGCAAUCUUGUAAAUUUUACAAAAUUAAAAGAAAAUUAAGUGAAAAAUAAAACACUUUCUUCUCCAUUUCUUCAUUUUCAUGCCGAACAACCAUAUCUAGGGUGAAUGGAGCUUUGAUUUUCUUAUUUUCAUUGCAUGUAAGUGAAUUUGAUGCCCGUUUAUUGUAAUUUUUAUAUUUUUGAGAUCGUUGCAACUAGGUCCAACUAGCUCAUACAUUCGUUUUUGAAUCUAUUAAAAAUUAGAAGUUGCCAUUAAUGAAUCUUGAGUGUUUUUUUAUGAUAACCAUGUAUUUGAAGCUUUAGUUGUGUUGUUUGAUGAUUAUGUGAAGUGAUUUUUGUUAGAUUUUGAUUUUAGGAUUAAAUUAUGAAAAUGUCAAAAUUUUAGGGUUUGAUAGUGAAUUUGAUGUUUAUUAGGGUCUAUUUAAGGGCCUAGUAUAUUCAGCUGGAAUAUUGACUUGAGAAAAAUGGUUAAUUUGAUGAAUUUUGGGUUAAGGGACUAAAUUGAAAAAGUUGUAAAAGUUAGGGAUAAUUGUGUAGAUUUAAAAAUAAAAGGGUAUAAAAUGUCAAAUGAAUUGGAAGAUGAAAUGUAAGCUAAUAAUUGAAGAAUUUUACAUCUUAGAUAAAGAUCUAGUUGAUACUCGUGGAAAAGGAAAAAUUACAAAAUAUUUCUUAAACUUCUGCAACUACUACAAUUCAGUCCAAGUAAGUUCGUACAGUUCAUAACUUAACAUCUUUAUGGAAUGUUUGAUGAUAACAUGUAAUGUGAUACUUAUAUUUGAUUUUAAAUGAUGUAAGUUAUUUGAGGAAAAAUUGUUGAAAUUCUAUACUUGGAUCAGAUUAAACGCGAGAUAGGGUAUAGUCGAGAUAUGGUGUGUUAUGAGGGAUUGGAGUGGAGACGGUUGUGGAGUGAUAUAUUUAUGUAUCCCGAGUAAACCGAGGUUCAGCAUUUGUUGCGAAAUCUUGUGUUAUACUCUCUAUUUUGGUGUGUUUCAUUUGAUAUUCUGGAUGGCAGGGAACAUUCAUGGUUGUAUUAUUAUUUGAUUUGUUGUACUUACUUCGGUAAGAUUUAUCGUUUUAAUACGUCAAAUUUACUAAGCUUCAUUGAGAUUACUUGUGUUAUUUAUUGUUCUUGUAGAUACUCAGAAGGUUGGAUGAUCGAAUCAGCACUCAAGUCACACUAUCCAUAAAUUUCUGUAAUUUUUGGAACGUUCAUUUCAGAUUAUAUGACAUGUAAUAGGCUUGUAUGUCAUUACUAAUGUUUUGGGUAGGUAAAAUGUUAAUUAUGAUUUUGUGUGUAAAUUGCUAACUUUUAUGAUACAUGUGCAUGAGGUAAGAUUUUUCAAUGCAAAUAUGAAUGAUAUGUGUUAAUGUAAUGUUGUCUUUGAGAUGCCUAUAAUUGGUACAUUGGUUAAUUGUUAGGUUUGGUGAAUUGAUAAGUUCUGAUUGAUGAAUCAUUUUGAUGUAUAAUUGUAUGUACUUGUGGUAUCAAUGAGGAUGCAUUGGUUUGGCACUUAGGAUGUUCAUUUGACAUGUUUUUGGCUUGUUUAAUGUCACUUUGAAUAGGUUUUUUGGCUGGAAAAUGGAUUGCAUAGAGUCUAAGUAAGUUUGAAAUGGUAAACUUGUUGUUUAAGGUUUAUUUUGGGUCUACAUGGGCGUGUGACUCAGCCAUGUGAGACAUACGGCCGUGUGUCAUCUGACGAGCUCUUAGGGUGCAAGUCAGUGACUUACACGGCCUAGCACACAGACGUGUGGGGAAAUUUCGAGUGUUACACGGCCUGGCACACGGGUGUGUGACAUGGCUGUGUGACCCUACUCAGAGAGUUACACAGGUGAGGACACGGGCUAGGACACGGCCGUGUGUCCCUAGUUCAAAGGUUACUUAGCCUGAGACAUGGGCAUGUGUCUCAGCCUUGUGACCCUUGUAUUCAAAUUUUUGUAACUUUUCCUAGACUUUUCAAAUGAUUUCAAUUUAGUCCUAAGUUGUUUCUAAGAUGUUUCUUGGGCCUUGAGGGCUCAAUAUAGAGACUGUGUGUUUAUGUAUGAAUAGUUUAUAUUAUGUUUAUGAUAUUGAAGGAAAUUAAGUUUAAAUGUUUCAAUUGUACGGUAAUGCUCCAUAACCUUGAUCUAGCGACGGAUAUGGGUUAGGGGUGUUACAUAGUGCUAUUAGGUUUGCUUAUUUAGUUUGAUUUUAAACACUCUGAUUGAUUGAUAUAGACACUUUUUAAAAUACUCACAAUGUAACACUCUUAACUCGUAUCCAUCGCCAAAACAGGGUUACAGAGCAUUACCGGAGUUUACAGAACAAAUAGAUAAAAAUUUCAAACAUUUCACAUCAUAUAAUAUUCAUGUCGUAAACUGAACGAAAUCAAAGAUAUUACCCCUUAUAUGAGCCCUCAUGGCCCAAAAUAUGCAUUAGAAACAAGUCGGGACUAAAUCGGAUACUCAAAGAAUUUUUUGAAAAACAUUAAAAAUUUUUAAAGCUGCAAGGGUCACACGGCCGUGUCCAUUCCCGUGUAACUCUCUGACUUGGGUCACACAGCCAAGCCACAUGGGUGUGUGGCUUGGCCGUGUGAGCAUACUAACUUGCGCAAUUAAAAAGAUGUAGGGGACACAUGUAACACCCCUAACCUGAAUUCGUCGCCGGAACAGGGUUACGGAGCAUUACUAGAGUUCACAAGUUAAUUAUCAGACAUUUCAUUUUAUGUAGCAUUCAUAUUUGAAACCAAUCAAAAUUAAAACAUUAAUGAGCUAACGAUGGCCAAUUUAACUUAUACAUGCCAUUCAAUGCAUUAUUCCCCUAACAUGCACAAACUCAACAUUCAAGUUAUUUCAAUAAUUUCCAUGUAUCAAUAAUAUAUAUACCAUGAUUGAUGAGCUCAUCAAUACCUUGAUUUCCAUUCCCUUGUUUUUUUCCCAUAUUUAUCCCGUUGAAUUUUUCGGAAUUUCGAUGGAUUUUCAGGGGUACACUUUAGUGUACAAAUCCGGGUCCGUCAAUUCAUAUUCAUGUGCGCACAUUUUCAUUUCAGAGAGCAAACUCCCGCGAACCUCAUCUUUACAGCGGGAUUACCAGUCCAGGCUAAAUCCCCUGCAACGGCAAUUACUCUAAUGAGCUUGGAUCUGAAUUACCAGUCCAAGCUAAAUUCAGACCCUAAUUCGGAUUUCCUGUCCGGGCUAAAUCCAUUUUCCACAUAUUCUUUGGGAGGGCUAUAUCAGGAUAGGAUCACCCAUCCGGGCUAGAUCCUUUUUACUUUCAAUUCCUUUUCAAGAUCCAUCGAAUUUUCCUUCCAUUCAACUGAGAUUUCUUCCCAUUUUUAUCAAAUAUAUCAAUGUUUCAUCAAUUUUCAUACAAUUAACAUUCAAAUCAUAUUCACAUCAAUAACAAACAUUUCAAGCAUUUAAGAAUAUAAUUUAAGUUACACAAACUUACCAGGCUAAAUUGCAGAAAUAUCAAAAUUCAGGGACAUUUUGGUAAUUUUCUAUUUUCCUCGAAUUUCCACCCAAUCUUGAUCUAAAUUAAUAUUUCAUUCAAUUUAUUAAUUUAAAUAAUAAAACAAUUCAUUUCAUGCAAUUUGGUCACUUUUUGACAUUUUUACAAAUUUACCCUUAAAAUAUUACUUUUAUUCAAUUUAGUCCCUGAACCUAAACCAUGCAAAUUAGCCAUUUUUAAUGAAAAUUCAUGCUAGUUGAAUAAUCAUAUAUUUUCCUCCUCCUCCUCUCCAUUCCACAUCCUUAAUGUAUAUAACAUGCUGUCCACUUGAGUCAUAGUCACAAAAUUAUUCAUAUCUUGAGCUAAGUAACUCUGAAUUGAGAUUCGUUAAUUUUAUCUGAAACUAGACUCACAUAUCUUCUUACUAUAAAAUUUUCAGAAUGUUUGGCUUAGCCAAUAAGUACAGUUUAUUCUUUAAAGUUUUCCCUAUUUCACUUCCGACCCCUCUUCACUAAAAAUUAAUUAUAUCUUUGUACAGAAUUCGUAUGAUGUCCCUGUUGGUUUCUCUUGAAAAUAGACUCAUUAAGGAUUUUAAAAAUAUAAAUUAUAACUCAUAAUUAUUUUUUUACAAUUUUUAAUGAUUUUUCCAAGUCAGAACAGGGGAACCCGAAUUCAUUCUGACCUUGUCUCACAAAAUUUAUGAUAUCUCAUGAUUUACAAUUCCAUUGCUUACAGCAUUUAUUCUAUGAGAAACUAGACUCAAUAAUAUUUAAUUCAAUAUUUUAUUCAUAAUCUAAUUCGAUUUCCACAAUUUAUGGUGAUUUUUCAAAGUUAACCUACUGCUGCUGUCUAAAACUGUUUUAGUGUAAAAUGUUGAUUACUAAAUUUAUAACACCUUUAUUUCCUUUCUCUAUAAUAUUUCCCAUCACUUUCUCUUAUUUUCCUUCACUAAUAUAUCAAGAACAUUAGACUUUAUUUAAGAAAACUCUACUAUAACAUCAUUUCCAUCCUUUUUCAAUAAUAUAAAACUUUAAAAUAUAUUGAAAUAUUGAUAUUCUUACCUUGUGCUAUUGAUUUCAAUCUUUAACUUGAUUUUCUCUCUCCUCCAGCUUCUACUUCUUGAAUCUAACUUGAUAGUCUAGCUCCCUAUAGUCUCCUUAUCAAUUUUCUCUCUUGGUGGAUAUGGAAAUUUCUUUGAUUUCUAAGUAAAAAUGGUGAAUUUUGGGUGGGAGGACCAAAUUGUAAAGAAAGCAAAACUUUCUUACUUCUUUUCUCUUCUAACGUGAAAUGCAUGGAAAAAUGGUGGAAUGGAUGAUUCUUCAUCUUGCUUUUCUUAUAUAUACUAAAUAAAAUACUAAUAAAAUAAUAAAAUAUCAUUUAAAAAUCAAAUUAAAAUAUUAAUAAACUAAUAUUUAUGUAAUUAAUUAAUAUAAAAUAUCUCCAACAUCAUCAUUAUCUUCUAGAUUUCUCUCUCUUCUAAUUGAUCAUUUUGCCCUUUAUAAUCUUUAAAAUUCCAUCAUUGAGUCAUCACUGUAUUGGUGGCCAGGGAUGAAGAAAGAUAUAGUCGAGUAUGUUGGUAAAUGCCUGACUUGUCAGCGGGUAAAAGCAGAACAUCAGGUAUCGACAGGUUUGUUACAGCCCAUUACUAUUCCUGAGUGGAAAUGGGAUUGCAUUACCAUGGAUUUUGUUAUGGGAUUGCCAUUAUCGUUAAGUAAAAAGAAAGUCAUAUGGGUAAUUGUCGAUCGACUCACAAAGUUAGCUCAUUUUAUAGCAGUUAGAACAGACUAGUUACUAUAGAAGCUUGCCGUGGUUUAUAUUCGAGAGAUUGUUAGAUUACAUGGUAUUCCUGUAUUAAUCAUUUCAGAUCGAGAUCCUCGGUUUACAUCAAGAUUUUGGAAGCAGUUACAUGAGUCGUUGGGUACACGGCUUAAUUUUAGCACUGCAUUUCAUCCGCAAACUGACGGACAUUCCGAGCGAGUAAUUCAGAUAUUGGAAGAUAUGUUGAGAGCUUGUAUCAUCGACUAUGCGUAAGGUUGGGAACGAUAUUUGCCAUUAGCAGAAUUUGUUUAUAAUAAUAGUUUCCAAUCUAGUAUUCAGAUGGCUCCGUAUGAAGCACUAUACGGUCGAAGGUGUCGAUCACCAGUAUGUUAGACAGAAUUAAAAGAAAGAAAAGUGAUUGGGCCAGAAUUGAUUCAAGAGACAGAGGAAACAGUUAAAAAUAUUAGAGAUAGACUGAAAGCCGCAUUCGACAGACAGAAAUCUUACGCAGAUUUGAAACGACGAGAUAUUGAAUAUUCCGUUGGUGGUAAAGUAUUCCUCAAAGUAUCGCCGUGGAAGAAAAUUUUGAGAUUUGGUCGGAAGGGAAAGUUGAGUCCACGUUUUAUUGGGCCGUAUGAAAUAGUUGAAAGAAUCGGACCGGUUGCGUAUCGAUUAGCCUUACCUCCAGAAUCACAGAAAAUUCAUGAUGUUUUCCAUGUCUCGAUGCUUCGGAGAUAUAGAUCGGAUCCUUCUCAUAUCAUUCCCACUAAAGACAUUGAAAUUCGAUCUGAUUUAACUUAUGAAGAAGAGCCGGUUCAAAUACUAGCUCAAGAAGUGAAAGAAUUAAGAAAUAAACGAGUUCCUUUAGUCAAAGUUUUAUGGAGAAGUCAUAGUGUGGAAGAAGCGACUUGGGAACCAGAAGAGACGAUGAGAGCACAAUAUCCUCAUCUCUUCUCAAGUAAAUUUCGAGGACGAAAUUUAUUAAGGGGGGAAGAAAUGUAAUGACCCAAAAAUUCAAGGGCAUCGGAAAAGUAUAAUAUCGGGCAUCCGUCUUAGUAAAUUGAGUUUGAAAAUAAUUAUUAGAAAUAUUUAUUAAACUAGUUGUGUGCUUAAUUAGGUUUUAGAUAGGUGAAUUUAGCUUAAUUAAGAGUAAUUAGUAAAAAGGAUUAAAUUACAAUAGAAGUGAAAGUUUAAUUAUAGAUUAAAAUAAAAUAAGAGGGACUAAAUAGGUAAAUAAGCCAAUGGCUUAAGAUUAGGCGGCAAUACAUGGAAAAAUCUUAGAUUUUUUCUUGAUUUAUAUUAUAAAAAUAUUAUUAAAUUAAAAUAUUAUAAAUUAUAUUAAUUAAAAUUAAAAUAAUAUAUUAUAGGAAACAAAUAAGAUAAAGACAAUUGUGUGAUGAUAAAUAAUACAUGUGUAAAAUAUAUAAAAACACACUUGUAAUAAAAUAAAAUAUUUUCUUAUAAUUUAAGUAAAAGAUAUUUGUGAAUAAAAUAUUAUUAUAUGAUUAUUAUAAUAUAUUAUUAUUAUUAUUAUUAACUAAUGCAUAAAAGAAAUAAAGUAAGUAAGUAAAACAAAAAGAAAAAGAAACAAAAGAAGAACAGAAAAGAAACAAAGAAAGAGACGAAAAUAGGGGAAGAAAAAAGGAAAGAAAAGAAAGAGGGAAAAUUGAGAUUUUGAAGCUUGAAGUUUAAUAGGUAAGCUAAAUCAAGUCCUUUUCUCAUAAAUUUGAUAUUUUUUGGAACCCUAGAGUGAAAUACUCUUGAAUUUAAGUUGAAAAUUUGAAAGUUAAUAGAUUUUUGAGUAGGGUUUAUGUUGAAUAAAUGAUGGAAUUGAGGUUUUAUUUGAUAGAAUUUCUAGUUAGAGUUGAUAAAAGGAUUAAAUUGUGAAGUAAGCUAUAAGUUUUAUGUUUGUAGGGAUUAAAUUGAGGAAAAUUAGAAAUUAAUGAAAUAUGCUGAAAAUUUGGUAGUUAAAUUUGAGUUUAGAAGAAAUUUGAAUAGAAAUAGAGUGUGAAUUAAAUUAGAAAAGUAAAUAAAUUUAGCUAGGAUUAAAUUGGAAUUAAAGUAUAAAUUAGAUAGAAAUUUUAUUAUUAUUAUAAAUUAAUGUUGUAAUUGAUUUUGUAAAUUAUUAUUAUUUUCGUAGCUAACAAGGAACUCGAGGCAUCGACACAGAAAGGAAAGGAGAAGGUUAUUGAGGAAUAAUCGAGUAAAAUUCAGGUUUGUAUUACUAUAAUUUAAAUUAUUUAUUAUUUGAUGUUAAAUUUAAAUUAUGUGUAUGGUAAGCAUAUGAUAAGGUAAGUGACUUUAUUGAAUUAAAUUUGGAAAAAAAAAAUCAAAUUGAAUGAGAAAAGUAUGUGUUGGUAUUGAACUCUGUUUAAUUAGUGAAUGGAAAAAGUAUAAUUGAUAUUGAAAAUGAAUUUUUUGAAAUAAAAGUGAAAAUUAGAUUGUGAAAUUUAUAUACCCUAUUAACUAGUUGGGCUGAGUCAGAUAUAAUUGGCAUGCCAUAGGAUUUAGAAGAGUAUGGGAUUUAUCGGCUUUGCCGAUCAGGCACUUUAUGUGUCGUAUCUCAGGAACUUUAUGUGUCGUAUCAGGCACCUCGUGUGUCGUUUUAGGCACUUAUGUGUCGUAUACUGAUCAGGUACUAUGUACCGUUUUAGGCACAAUGUGCCGUAUUGGUGUGUUUGAGUUGGAAUCCGUGUAUCCGUCAAAGUCUAGAUUGUUAAUAGGGUGAAUAAUUGAAAUAAGAAAAUUUAAAAUUGUGGAUUGAAAUUUGAGAUUGAAAAUGAAAGGCAUGAAUUUAAUGUUUAUGUAGUGAUUGAAAUUAUUACAUGUGAUAUUGGAUUGAAAUUGAAGAAUAGCUAAAAAUUGUAUUGUUAUUGUUAGUUAAUGAAAGUUUAUAAAUUAAUUGAUAUUUAAGAAAUCGGAUAGUUACAUGCUUGGUAAUUAUAAUUCUUUGUUGUUAUUAUAAUUUGAAUUAUGGUAAUACCACUGAGUAUACAAUACUCAGCGUAGGGUUGUUUCCAUGCGCAGGUUAAAAAGGGAUUAGAGUCUCGGUUCAGCAUCCAGGACAAUCCCGACUCCGACAUAAAGAUUUUGGUGAUGUUUUCUUCCUUUAAGAGAAAGUGGCAUGUACAUAAGAAUUAUAAUAGUUAUUUUGGUAUGUUAUAUAGUUUUGUUGUAAAGUAAGAUAUUAUGUAUUUUGAUGAUUAUANNNNNNNNNNNNNNNNNNNNNNNNNNNNNNNNNNNNNNNNNNNNNNNNNNNNNNNNNNNNNNNNNNNNNNNNNNNNNNNNNNNNNNNNNNNNNNNNNNNNAGUCCUUUAUGGCAUUGGUAUCAAACUGAAAUGACUUGAUUAGUUUCAUGUGUUAAUUAGAAAUGAUAAUAGGAUUUUUAUUAAAUAAGUUGUUAUGUCAAUAUGUCAAGUAAGAUUUAAGUAUAUAAAUGCCUUGGUUGAAAUACUGGAAUUGGGUUGGUUAUGUUUGAAAUUUUGCAGGGGGUUGUAUGUAAAAAUAAGCAGAAAUGCUGCCGAAAUUUUUAUAAAAAAAAUGAAUGAAGUCAAUUAGUAAAAUUGAUAUAAUUAUUUGUAAAUUGUUUGAUAUGUCAUUUAAUGCCUCGUAACCCUGUUCUAGCGACGGUUUGGGGUUAGAGGGUGUUACACAUACAACCAAUAUGUCCUUAGGCACUUCAAUUGACAAUUUAAAGGCAUGUCAACAAGUAUCUCAAUUUACCUAAAUGACCAAAUUCAUGUAUGCAUAUUCAAACCACAUUUUACUUUCUUUCAUUCUACCAUAUCAAACACAUAAUAAAUAUGAUAAGGCCAUUUAUAUACACAUCAAAAUAUACCAAACACAAGCCAUUCAAAUGGCUAGUCUCAACAAAACAUCUAUAUGCCAACAUUUGGCCAAAAUAACCUAUACAUGCCAUUAUACCCGAGAUUAAUUUACUGAAAGUACCAAAACGACUAAUGGAUAGUAUGAAAUAACUCCGACCAGCUUCCAACCCGUACACGCUUCCGAAUUACUAUAAAACAUAGAAAAAUAACACAGAGUAAGCAUUUAAACUUAGUAAGUUUGUAUAACACAGAAUUUAACUUACCAUAUAUUCAUACAAUAGGUAAGUAAACAUAACAUAUCACAACCAAUUUGGCCAAAAGUCUAAGCACAUGAUCACCAACAUAUUAGCCAUUAAAAUCACAUAUAAGAUCCAGCACACAUGGUUGAAUUCAUCAAAUAAUCACAUUUCAUGUUUUUCAUAUAAAUACCAAUAAUAGUUCAUAUCGAAAUCAUAUAAUAUUGUAACAGAAUUGUGCCCGUUGAACCAUUUAUAAUAUUGUUGGAUACAGGGGUAGUACACACGAGGUGUACUGAGUGGUAAUAUGUCAAUUCAUAUUAAUGUAUGCUUAUACGAGCUGUAAACAAGAAGCUCCUCUGAGUUGAAUAAUGGGAAGCUCAUGCGAGCUAAAUAUCGAGAAGCUCAUGCGAGCUGUAUAACAGAAAGCUCAUGCGAGCUGUAUAACAGAAAUCUCAAGCGAGUUGAAUAUCGAGAAGCUCAUACGAGUUGUAGUGUGUCCGCAACACAUGCAAGACCCCAACCAAAUCGAUAACCCUAAUGACAUGUCAUUUGUAUCCUACGAAUUUCUAAUGUUCAAACAGGUCUCAGUAAUUGUCAGAUAUGCGAUCGAUAUUUAUACAUGGCAAUUAUACAAUUCACAAACAAAUAAUUCAAUUUAAAACAUAUAAAUGUACAAUUUAAUUACACGAACUUACCUCGAAAAGUUUACGUAGAUAUGAAGGCGACUAUUCAAAUAUUUUCUCUUUGCCUCGAUCUAGCUCUGUACGAGGUUUUAUAGGAUCUAUACAAAUGAAUUUAACUUAUUUCAAUAUAAUUCUCAUUCAAUUUAAUCCAACAUAGAAUUUUGGCAAAAUUACUAUUUUUCCUCUAUACUUUUAAUUCAUUUCAAUUAGUCCCUAGGCUCGGAAAAUGACUUUCAUGCAAUUUAAUCCUUACUCAAGCCUAGUCAACUUUUACACAUAUUAAUAGCAACCCACAUAACUCACAAUUUCACAAUUUAGCCAUGAAUUUACCAUCUUUUUCAAUUUAACCCUUAAUUGAUAAUUUCAUCAAAAUUCUCUUUACAAAAGUUGUUUAUCUAACAACAACCUUUCAUUUUCUAUCAUAAAACUUAAAAAUUCAAGCAUACUCAUUAAUGGAAAAACCCUAAUACUUUAACGAUUUUGCAAAUUAAUCCCCGAGUUAGCUAGAUUAAGCUACUACGAUCUCAAAAACAUAGAAAUUAUCAAAAACGAGACAAAGAUUCAUACCUAAUUGACCAAAAUAAGGUUGUCCAAAUUCAAGCUUCCAGGGUUAGGUUUCUUUUCUUUUUUAAUGUUUGGUGGAUGAUGAUGAUAAUAGAUGAUAUUAGUUUAUUUUAUUAAUUUUAUUAUAAAUUUAAUUGCUAAUUUUCAAAAUUACCCUUAACAAUUUAUUCAAUUUCCUAUGAUGACUAUUCAUUCUUAACCAUUAAUCAACCUUAAUGAUUAAUUACCAUAUAAGGACCUCAAAUUUAAAAUUCUAUAGCUAGUUAAUCCCUUUAGCUAUAAGAAAUCAACUUUUGCACUUUAUGCAAUUUAGUCUUUUUUAUCAAAUUAGACAUGUAAACGGCAAAAGUUCUAAACGAAAUUUUUAUACGAUAUUUCUACCAUAUUGUAGACCAUAAAAUAAUAAAAAUAAUAAUAUUUUGUCUGACUUCGGAUUUGUGGUCCCGAAACCACUGUUUCGAUUUCACUGAAAAUGGGAUGUUACACACAAAGUUAAUUCUUACGUCAUUGAGAAUUUGAUUUUUAUUUUUGAGUGCAUAAUAGUGAGGUUUGCUUAAUUUUUCUUUUAUUGAGUGUUGUGUUCUUUUCAGGCUUUCCUAAUGAUUUACAAUAUUAUGAUUGAGAAGUUGAGAAGGGAUCAAGAGGUUCGUAAUGCUCAAGAUCAGCAAUGUGACACUAUUCUAGACACGAUAAAAAAACAUUUGGAAUGUCUAAGUACAAAAAUUACGUCAAAAUCGUUAUUGGGGAGAUAAGAUUGAUCAACCUCGUCUUCGUGCAAAUAAUGCUCGACUUGUCUCUCGUGCAAAUGAUAAGACUUUGGUUAAUAAUGACCGUAGGCAACAUUUUUUUGCUAAACCAAAGUUCAAUUUUCCACCAUUCCGAGGUAAGUACGAACUCGAAGCAUAUUGUGAGUAGGAAUCAAAAUUUAAACUUUUGUUUCGUUAUUAUAAAUGUCAAGAAGAGGAAAAAGUCUCAUUUGUGACCCUUGGAUUUUCAAAUUUAGUUGGUGGAUUCAACUUGGAAUUGAUCGUUAAAUAAAAUUUAAAAGGGUAAUUGAAAUAUGGGAUGAGUUGACACAAAUCAUACGAAAGCGUUUUAUCCCACCUCAUUAUUAUAGAGAUAUUAAAUGGAGACUUCAACGCAUUGUUCAAGGUAAUCGAUCUGUUGAUGAGUACUUUAAGGAGAUGGAGAUGCUUAUGCAUAGAGCAAAUGUUCGAGAAGAUGAAGAGACUAUAAUGGUGCAGUUUGUAGAUGGUUUGAACAUUUCGAUAGCCAAUGUUCUUGAUAUUUAAACUUACAUUGAUGUUGAGGACAUUGUACGCAAGGCAAUUGAGAUUGAACGGUAGUUUCAACAACGUCAAUCUCGUCCAUUUAGUGCUUCACAAUAUUAUUGAGGUACGAGUUCUAUUCUACUUUGAAGAAUUUAAAACCUCCUUAUGCUACUACUAAGUUGUCGCCAAAAUAGGAUGAGACUAAACCUUUUGAGUAGAAAAGUGGGGUUCCUACAAAACCUUCUUCUUCAUCUUCUAAGCAGCCCACUUCUACUACUUCUUCACCAAAACAACAAAGAGCUCGUGAAAUUAAAUAUUUUAAGUGCAAAAGGGUGUGGGCACUAUAGUCGUAAUUGUGUCAACAUGAGACUUUUGUUGAUCAAAUAAUAUGGUGAUUAUACCUCUGAUUCCGAUAAAAUAGACCCAGAUAUACCCAAAUUAAUUGAUGAUGUCGAUGAUGGAGGUAAGUUUUAUGGUGAAAAAGAGUUGGUGGAACCAUUAACUCAUCCUCCUUGUCUAGUUGUGAGGCAUACCCUCAACAUCUAAUUGAGGGAUGAUCAUGAUCUUCAAAUGAGUAAUAUAUUCCAUUUGAGGUGUUUAAUUAAAGGUAAACUUUGCUCAUUUAUCAUUGAUAGUAGAAGUUGUGAUAAUGCUAUGAGCAACUACUUUGUGGAUUCUCUUACUUUGCCAUGUAGCAAACACCUUACACCAUACCAUCUUCAAUGGCUUAACGAAGGUUCAGAGGUCCGUGUGAUAAAAUAAUGCUUGAUCACUUUUAAACUUGGGACUUACAUUGAUGAUGUUUGGUGUGAUGUGGUUCCCAUGCAUGCUGCCCACUUGUUACUUGGUAGACCAUGGCAGUACGAUCGUGAUGUUAUUCAUCAUGGUAAAUUAAAUCGAUAUUUAUUUAUUUUUCAUGGGAAGAAGUACAUUUUCACCCAUUUGAAUCUGAAAGAUAUUCACAAUGAUCAAAUCAAGAUGAUGAAGUUUUGUAAGGAGGUUAUGGGAAGUAAGACACAAAAUUCAAAAACGGCUGAGAGAAAAGAGGUCUCUAGUGAAAAUAGCCAAAUUAAUGAUGACCCAAUGGUGAGUGCAUCCUCUGGUGAGAAAAAAAGAGUGGUUCAAAAUUUUUAUACAAGUGGAAAAGAUGUGAGAUGAGCCUUACUCACUAAACAUCCUUGCAUCCUUGUCUGAUUUAGGCAAAAUUAUUUAUCUUUGACUAACCUUCACAACUCUUUGCUUAGCUUCAAACGCCAUGAAGACAUCUCAACCUAGAAAUGUCAAGAUCCCAUCCAAAAAGUCGUCACAAUUCUACUGAUUUUCCAAACUUGAAAAGUGGCAACUUCGGUGAAUGGAAUUUAAUAAAUUUCACCCCAUCUGUGCAUGUAUCAUUCCCCCGUUCCUCAAAAUGAUUCGUCCUUGAAUCUUGUAUUUGAUCGAACCCUGAUUUGAUUUGCUUAGCCUUUGAUAUUGUUAUUGGGCCUUGAGGUAGUGUGAGCCCAUCACAUUCGUGGGUCUAAAAUUAGGCCUUGUGGCUCACAUCACUUUGUUUUGGUACAUUUUAGGCCAUUUGGUUCCUAUUCUAUGCUAAGCCAAACCAUUAGCUCAUUUGGUGUCUAAUGCACACUUAUAACCUGCACAAAAUCAGUCCAAAACAUGUUUAACCAUUCAUAUAACUUUUUCUAAAGUUCCAUUCCAACAUCUCCACCAAUUUGGCAAAAAUAAAUCAGUUUAAGCUACACCAAUUCAACCAUUUAACCAUUUCUCAUGAAUUACAAGUCAUUCUAUAUUAUUUAAUAAUAUUUACAGGCUCGAUUGUCAGAGAACAAGACUUUGAAACUACUAUUUUCGGCACCACUAAAAAUUAGGCUGUUACAGUUGAAUUCUCUCUCUUUUUUUUCUUCUUCUUCUACGUUCGAGCAUGGAUGAAGGAAAAAAGAUGAAUUCUCUUUCUUUCCACUAUGGUAAUUUUAUUUUAUACAUUUUAUAAUAUAAAUAAUUUAAUUAUAAUCUUUAUAAUAUAUAUAAGCUAUUCACCUACCCUCCAUUAAUGUUUCUAAGAUAGUAUAUUUACCAUUUUAGACCUUGGUUUAAUUGUUAUAUAAGUCCUUAAGCCUUUGGCUAUUAAAAACCUUCAAUGAUAACAUUUUUACAAUUUAUUUUUUGUACCUUAAUUAACAAUCAAUUCGGAAAAAUUACUUAUCUAAAAUUUAAUUCACCAAUAUAAUAACUCUGAUUUAUGAAAACAAAAUCCCAAAACUGUCUUUUCCAACAUCAUUGAAAAUCAGAUAGUUACAAUUUAGUCUAAAUUUGAAGCAAAUAAAUCACCAAAUCCAUUCAAAAUUUGUUCUUACAUGUUGAUCAAUUUUCAAAAUUAGGAUGGCUAAAUUUUCUGAAUAAAUAAAAUUUCAAAAUUGAAAAAGAAUGAUGCAUAUGAAAUUAUUCGUCUUUGGGGAACGUUGAAUUUGAGUUUAUAUAUAUUUACUAUUUUUUUUAUCUCGUGCAUCAAUUGUAUGUAUUGAUUACAAAAUAUUAAAUUUAUUCAUAAAAUUUAUUUAAAAAAUUUAUACAUUUUCACAAAAGAUAUAAAAUAAUGUAUUCUAAAUGUUGUAUAAAAUAUUAUAUAUUAUAAGCUAUUUAAAUAUUACAUUUUAAUACUUAAAAUUGUUAUAUUGUUGACUAUAAAAAAAUUAUAAAUUCCAUAUAAAAAUUAUAAAUUUUAUUAGUUAAAGUGUUUUUAAAAUUUUUAAAUUAUUUUAAAUAUUUUUUUAUACUAAUUAUAAGCUGAAAAAAUAUUUAUAUUUUAAAAUAUAUUAUAACUUUACAAUAGUUAAAGGAAAAAUUCAAAAGAGAAACCUUACAUUUAAUUAAAGCAGUGUUGUGGUGUGUCAGACAACACAAAAAAAUAAUUUUUCGUAUUUUGAAAUUAUUUUGUAUAUACAUGAAAAUACGAAUAUUUUUAAAGAAUAUAUUGGUGCCACCACUAUGUCAAUAAAAAAUUAUUUUUUAAACAAUAUGAUUGCAUGAUGAUUGAAAAAAUGGGGUGAAUGCACGGUAAAAAAAAAUCCUAUUUUUGUAAUUAAUUAAUUUAUAAUAUACUGUUGUAUUUAAUUAUUGUUUUUGUAUUAUUUUUUAUUAAAAAAAAAAACCCCGAUAAGGUUCCUUGCAAUCUUUGGGCUUUGAUUUAAGCAUGAUGAUAUAGUAUUGAAGGUAAUAUUUACGAAUUUUUAUUUUUAACUGGCUCUUCUAUGUCCGGGCCUAAUAAAUCUAUGAACUACAGGACAAGACCAAAGUUAGGAGUCCUGUUUAGAAAGAGAAUGCCCCCUGGUUGUGUGGCUGAAGACGUGCAAAAUAGUUUCAGGUUGAAAAUGGAUAAACGGCAGUUCAUAUGGAUAAGAUAUUUUAAGACAUCAUCAAAUGAAAUCGGUGCCCACAAUUCUGAGGCUUCAACUUUAUCACUGCUUUUGGUGGUGCGAGAAGCUGUGAAUAUUUAAUUAUGAACACAUUUAGAUUCUAGAAAGUAGAGAGUUUGGCACAUACAAGAUGAUCAUCUAGAAGGGGUUUUUUUGGUUAAUUAAAGAAUUGAUUGAAUGGGACAGAAACCGCCUUAUAAGACAGGAUUAGUGUAUAUCGAACAGUUGACAGCUUGUUGUUAUGAUAGCAACCUGAAUAAAUUAUUACAACUAGGUCUGUCAAUCAAGAUUGUUGUCUGUGUUAGGCUACUAAAAGAUUUGAAUCAGAGUUCUGCCUUCACCAUCAGGUAAUUCCUACCGAAGCUGUAAAAUGUUAGGAGGUCCUAUUUUUAUGAACUGGAAAAGCAGAUACAAAGUUAAAUGGGAUGUGAGCAUCACAUAAAUGGUGUUUUUAUCUAAUGUUGGAGACAGAUACUUAGGACUGUCGCAAUAGAUGAUACAAUAACCUUGUUAGUAUACAAAUUUAUACAUAGAAAUGGGGAUAAAGGUUAUGCCUACAGAGUAUUAUCAUGAGCUAACAAGAUUGAUGAACAAACUUGUACAAAUUAUGUGAGCCCCCAGGGAAAUCAUUAAAGCUCGUUGGUACAUAAAAACUUCAAUCUUAACUAUUCUCAACAAGAGGAACUUCACGCUUCAAGGCAAAAGACAGAUUUAAAAACCCGACAUGCUUCUUCUUCCCCUUGAAGACAAAUUUCUGUCCUUGAGACUUUAAUGUUUUAUUGGCUCACAGCUAGUGGAUCUGUCGGUUUAGGCCCCAGUCAAAGCUGGUUUCUCAGUUUCUAAGAGAAAGAAUAUGGCAACACCCCCCACAUCUUGAAAUCAUUUGUCUUUGCUUUGAUGAUACAGUCUGCCAUUAGAACCAUUUCCUGAGAACCAAGUUCAAUUUUAAUCAUUUAACCGUUCGAGAUAAGAAGCUAAAGGGUUAAUUCACCAAAUAUCCCAAAACUAUAGUUCUGAUCCUAAAUUUCAAAACACUUUAUUCCAGUCCUCUAAGUUUUAGCAUAGUAUCAAUAAAGUCCUUCCACAUCUCAGUAGUUGAGUUGUAUGUUAAUGCUAAAUCAAAUUUUAUGUACAACAUUUUUAAAAUAAAUAAUUUAGAUUGGAUAUACUAAAAAUAUAGAUUCUGCUAUUAGGGUUUUUUUUUUUUUUUAAAACGCAUCGAAUUCAAACACUUUAUACAAUACAUACAUAUUUGUAGUUUUGUUAUUAGAUUCAUUAAAGAGCACUGGUAUUCCUUCAUUUUAGGAAAUAAAUUAGACGUGAUUCACAUGUCUUCUUUUCCAUGGCUAAAUUAGUGGGUUUGUUACUCAUGUUGAUUUAGUGGACAUAAUACUAUGUUUAGUCAUUUUUCAUGUAUAUUAUAAUACGAGUAUUUUACUCCAAUUUAAUGUAUCUCCUUCCAUUUUGUCUUCUUAAUUUUUACCUUAAUUAUCAUAUUCAUAAAAAAUCUUUGGUAUCUAAACCAUUUUCUUAAGAGACCUGUGAUCAUGUCAGUAUCCGAGUGAACCUGCACUUUACCCAAUCAUUUUUUAGUAAAAACCUUCAUGGAAGCUAAAACUAGUUUUUCUGCAAGGGUCCCUCUCGUUUUCAAUGCAGACAACUAUCAUUUUUGGACAACAAGAAUGGAAACUUGCUAGGAUGUAUUGGAUAUUUAGGAAGUAAUAGAAGAAAGUUAUAAAGUUCCUCCUUUACCAAGUAAUCUUACCAUUGCUCAAAUUAAGAAUCAUGGGGAGAAAAUGACUAGAAAAUCAAAGACAAAGGCUUGUCUAUUUGCUGCAAUCUCACCAACAAUUUUUACUCGAAUCAUGAUCCUCGGUUUAACAAAAGCAAUCUGUGACCAUCUCAAGAAAGAAUAUCAAGAAGAUGAAAGGGUCGAAAAAUGCAAGUGAACUUGGUGCAAAGAAAAUGGAGUAAAAAAACCAUCAAAAAUAUAUUCGAACAGAUUUUUUAGCAUCACCAACAGUGUAAGGUUGUUGGGUUCUAAACUUUUUGAUUUAAGAAUUGUUCAAAAACUUGUUACCGUGCUUGAAAAUUUUGAGACAAUUACUAUUGUUUUGGAGAAUUAUGAGGAUUUGUUAAAGAUUACUUUGGCAGAACUAUUAAAUGCCAUGCAUGCUCAUGAAUAAAGACGAGUCAUGAGAUAUGAUGGUGUUACUGAAGGAGCAUUGUCAACCAAGCAUGAAAAUGGUGGCAAAGAUAUGAAAAAGCAAGGUAAGAAAAUUUUAGUGAAGCUACCGUCAACAACAACAGCAGCAAAGGUGGAAGCAAAAAGGGAAAAUUUUCUCUAUGUCAAUAUUGUGGUGGAAAAGGUCAUCCUCAUUUCAAGAACCGAAGAAGGCCUAGUGCAGAAUGUAGCAAAUGCAAUCAAUCAAAGACAUGAUUCUGUAAUUUGCAAAUGUAAAAUUUCGCAACAAGAGCUUGACGCUCAGAUUGCAUACCAAGACGAGGAGGAUCAACUAUUUGUAGCAAUCAGUUUUUCAAGCAUUUUUAAAACAUGUGUAGCUACUGUAUGGGCAGUUUGAAUUUGAUAUAUCAAAAAUAUAGAUUGUGCCAUUAAAAUCUAGGAGCCUAUUUUUUUAAAACGCAUCAAAUUCAAACAAUUCUUUUAAUAGGUACAUACAUAAAUGUAAUUUGAUCAUAUGUUUUAAAUAUAUUCCAAAUCAUAUUUUAAUUGCUAUUUCCACUCAAAUUGAUGGUGAAAUUGACAAAAUGAUAUGCAAGAACAAUUUUUAAAGUACUCAACCAAAAUAUUAUAGAAUUUGAGACUAAUUUAGAAUCUAAAUUAUUGUAUUGGAGAAUGUUUAAGCAUUUAAUGUAAGUACCUAACUGGGAUGUAAAUAUAACUUAAUUGGUAAAACCUUUUUACCCUGGCAACUAUAUAACCAGACAGAUGGUGGAAUAAAUUUGAGGGGUCGCUGUAUCAACCCUGGAGGCAAGGGAACUCUUUAAAUUGAGCAAUUGAACCCCAUGCCAUGUGCAAACAGAAAACGAAGGCUUGUAUGACUUGCAGUGAAAGGGGGCAUUCACAUAAAAAGAAAAGCAUAUAUAUGAAAUAAUAAUAUUUUAAAAACAAAGGAAAUGGUGGAGAUGCGCUAUAAGGAAAUGACCCAUCACCAUUCAGACGGGUGACAAAAUCCAUAGGAGGACUUUCCAAAGCUUUUUUUCCUUUUGGUGUACGCUCGAAAGGGAGUCCCCACAACUGUCUGUCCCCGCUGCUGGACAAAACUGCCAUCGCCAAUAAUGCUUGGGACCUUGUAAAUCAGACAAUCCCUCUCUCUCUCCCUCUCUGCAAAACCCUCACCAACCCUCCCACUCCCAUAUACUCAAAUACAUACUGUAUAUCUUCUCACUCUCACUUUGGCUAUUUUCCACCCUUCGUUUCUUACCAUAUCUGUUGCUCGUUUCCUUUUCCUUCACCAUUGUUUUAUCCCAGUUUCUAGUUGCAGCAUUCCAACUCUGUUUACAUAUUUUUCCCUCUUUUCCGUGAGAGUCCUUCAAAUCAUUUAUUACCAGUACCAGGAAACUGAGGAAUAAAUUGUGUGUUGGCUAUGGGGGUGGUGUUAGGGUCUUAUUCUGCUUCAUUGGGGUUACAUUUAUUACUUGUAUUGAUUUGUUAGCUUCAAUAUAUGGAAUGUUGGUGACUGAGAGAGGGACACAGAAGGAGAAAAAGAAAGAAUUUAAGGCAUUUACUUCAACUACUGCUAAGCUGUUAUGGAGAGACUCCAAGGACCCAUUAAUCCUUAUGUAUGUUGUUUUGCCUGCUUUAGGACUUUGUGUAUCUUGCUGCAUUUCAUCUUUUCUCGAAUCCCGUUUCUAGAUUCAAGAUGGAGACUGCAUUUACUCUAAAAAUGCUUGCAUUCAUUGCAUCUUAUGUUGUUUUGCAGGAAAAUACUAACAUCUGCUACUGCACUACUGCUUCUUCUUACUCUUUCAACAUUCUACUCUCAUUCUACUUUCAUUAUCUCUUUAUCUGCUGAGAGAGACUGAACCAUGUGGCCUCCACCCAAUUAAAUGAUAUUUUUCUUUUCAAAUAUCUUUAGAUGGUUAGCAUUUGAGCCAAGUUAAAAAUUUUGCUUAUUUCCUUUUGUUUUUGUUUUCUCCCUUCAAAUUACUCAUUGCAGUUCCUAGGAGAGCAUUUGGAGGUGGAAUGCUUAGAACAAGGUUUUAUUAGCUGUGAGAGAUUAAAGCUUGGAGAAGAAGAAGAGGAAGAAGCACACUUUUCAAUACCAAGCUUUGAAGAGAAAAUGCCAUUCCUUCAGAUGCUUCAGAGCGUGGAGUCUCCUCAGCUUUUUGCCUUUAAAGAACCCAACUUCCAGACACUUCUGAGACUGCAACACAUGAAGAAGCCUUGGGAGCUAAACACCAAUCCUUUUAUUCCUGAAAUGGAAACCCAAGUUCAAGCCCUAGAACUGGAAAGUUGUGUCACCCAUGAAACAGUACUCGACUUACAUUCACCAGUCAAGUCCGAGACCAAAGAGCUUAAGAAAAGUCCACCUUCAAGCUCAUGCGCUGAAGUUCUCAGCUCUGGGUCUAACCAACACCAACCAAAGUCUGACAAUUGUAGCGGAGAACCCAACUUGGGCUCCUCGCCGCAGAAGAUUUUCACAAAGUCCCCUCCGAUCACUAGAGAACGAAGAAAGCG
rnacentral:lncRNA from 1 species